ensembl:misc_RNA 7SK 7SK RNA
GGAUAUAAGGGUGAUCUGGCUGGCUACGUGGUGGCCCCUUCCUCCCUCAACGCUCCAUGCAUGUCCCUCCAAAAGCUGUGUGCUAAGCAGAAGAGGACGACUAGCUCCCAUAGAGGAAGACCAUUCCUCAGUCAAGGGUACACAAGUAGCUGCGCUCCCCUGCUAGAACCUUCAAACAAGCUCUUAGAAGAUGAGGGAGAGGAACAAUUAAAAUGGGUUUUACCUUUCUCU